AUUGAGAUGGCUCAGUGGUUAAGGGCACUGGAAGCUGCUCUUCCAGAAGGUCUGGGUUCAAUUCCCAGCCCCCACA
rfam:Mus musculus chromosome 10, GRC primary reference assembly.